UUAGGAAGCUGAAAGUCAGAGCUUUUAAGUCAUGUUCAUUUAAUUCUCUGUGGAGAUUUUCUGAGUUCCUUUCUGUUCAUUGACAGGAUUUUCAAGGAAGAGAAGUGUUACUUUCUUCUUAACCUGGGUCUCUGUGGAAUUACGUGCACACUUGUAUAAUGUCCACAGUGUUCCAUGUCCUGUACGGAAAGCUGAGGAAAGGAGUGAUACCCUUAUUUCAUUGAUAUGAAGUUUUGGAUUUACUGAUGUGCUUAUGUUCUUCAAGUAAUGAGUCAGCCUGUAAGAGACUCCUCUGAUAAGUAAAACUUUAAAAAAUCAAGGAAAGAAAGAAAAACUCUCUUGCAGAGAUGAUGAAAGGCAAUAUGGAAAGAUAGGGACCAACUCCUUCAGGAUGAUUUUAUCUCCAAUAAUAUUGAACUGGGGAAAUGCAACAACAAUGCCUUCUCUGCUGGGUGUCUUACACUGAAGAAGCAGGGGCCUAGUUUUGGCUCUACCAGGCCAAAUCAUCAUCUGGGCUGGGGGACUGAAGGAGGACAGCACUGCCUCCCUAUGAACUGGCUGGGAACUGGUCUAAAGUGUGGACAUGGGUACUGGAAUGUGGGAGACAUCUUAUACAGAAAAGGCCUGCACAUACAAGCUGCGCAUACAAGCUUACAUUUCAGGAUGAAACAAAAGCUAAAAGGUAUUGAAGCAUAUGUUUAAAGCAAACUCUGAAUUUCUUCACUCAGCAGGUUCCUAGACAGUAAUGUUCUCUUGUUGCUGGUCAGAGGUCGCAUCAUUUAUAUACUGGUUCCUUGCCACAUGAGUUACAAGGUUUGCUGAUACGCCCAGAUGACUUAAUAUUCAAAAACCAAAUUGGAUAUUCAUAGGCUAUAUUGGAAUAGCUCUGCCUUUGGUGCUUUUCAUGGUCUAACUUUUUUACUAUUAUAUAUUUGAUGCUCCAUUAUAGCAUGAUAGCUUUACUUUUUCUCCAGGGAUUUAUAGCAUACUAACCUCAGGCACACAUCAGAGAAGUUAAUGACAGAGCCUGAAUUUGAUUUGUGUCUCCAGACUGUUUAGCAGAUUAGAACUGCUUUUCUUCUCCUUCAGUAGCAUAGAAAAGGUGAUGUGCAGCUUUGACAGUUUGUAUGAAGUGGGAGCAUAAGCUUUCAGGACCGGAGGUAGUAAGUGGGCAAAGUCCCUUAAAUCUUUCUCAUGCGCUAUUCUGAUCCCCGUCUUUCUGGGUAAAUUCCCAUCUGUGAUGCUGCAGGCCAUGUAUCAAGCAUUCAUGUAGUGUAACAGGUACAUUUUACUUCCAGCCUUCCACAGGUAGGAGGCAUUCCUAUUGCAAAUUCACCUGUAGAUAUUGUAGUGGAAUGCAUUUCUUCUUUUAUCAUGCAGAGAAAAACAUUUUUGUUAUAAACCACAUGAGCACCUAGAAAUCUCCGGGGAGGACUUGUUAGCUUGCCUGUUUGGAGUGUGCGCUCUGAACAGACAAAGGAGGAAGAAUACUCUGUAUACUUUAUGCUGUAUUUCAGUGCAAUUGAUGUGAAAUUUAUCAGAAUCACAGAAUUGAAAAAAGUGUCGGAAGGGACGUCUGGACUACUCCAACUCCCCUGCUAGAAGCGGGUUCUCUACAAUGGUUUACACAGGAAAGCUUCCAGGUAGGUUUUGACUGUCUCAAAUGAGAUAUGUCUAUGAGGUCUUUCCUCAUGUUCAGAUGAAACUUUCGUGUGCUCCAGUUUGUGCCCAUUUUUAAUUGUUCUGUCAUUGGGUACUGUUGAAAAGACCCUGGCUCCAUCCACUUGACUCCUGCCCAUUGUAAGCGUUUAUAAGAUUUCCUCCCCUUUCCAACCCCCAAGUCUUCCCUUCUCCCAAAUUUGUCAUUGGCAUGUAAAAAAGUUAACUGCAUAGUGAUGUGACCAUGUUUGUUGUUUCUAUUUAUUAUUAAUAAACCUGGUAGUCGACUAAUUUGGCA
ensembl:lncRNA